AAGCCUGUAAGAAAUCCUAAUGGAAAAUUAAUUCCUUUAUUCCCUAGACAUGAACUGGAAUUUUUUGAGAGGAAGAAUAACUCAGGACACUUAUUUGUGUCCCUGGAGGCCUACACGGACAUUUUCAAUCUCUCCUCUGGAGUCACUGCCUCCUUCAUUGAUGUGCAAGGGGAUUGCAGAGGCAAAGCUAGGCUAGGUCUUGGAGGCUGGUGUGAGGCGGUGCGGGUAAGGCAGGAGGCUGCUGGAAGACACUGGUGGAAGAAAAGCCGAAAUGGAUUCUCCGUGCCUUGGAUGGAGGAAGAGGGGGGAAGUGCGAGCUCCUUCAACUCUUUCGGUCCGGUGAGGAGUGAUCCAGCUUGGGCUGACAAGAGUCUCCGGGAGCCCUCUCGUUCAGUGCUUUUUUACCUGCCAAUCAAACUGCUACAAGACAACACCCUGAUCUGGCAUGGACCCGUAAGUAGCUUGCAACCCAACUUUGACAUUCAAGGCUAGCUCUCUCUCUCCCCACCCCCCA
rnacentral:lncRNA from 1 species